GAAGUCACAGGAAGUGACUAAAAGAAAUGGUCUUCUAAAAUGCCAAGCUCUUCCUGUGAGGAUGCUUUUCUCUUUUUGGUCUUCAACUUGACUUUGGAGGAUCUCCGGCUUGAGAUAUCAGACUGCAUUACUUUGAACUGACACAUGCUCAUGUAAAUUUUCCCAGGAUUUUUCUGAAACCAUCCUCUCAUCAUGUCUUAUAACACAACAGAAUUCCAUCACAAUCGUAUACCACAAUUUGUUUAGCCAUCUCUACCUGAUGAGCAUCCCUUCAGUUUCCAAUUCUUUACCACCACAAAAUGAGGUGAUCUUCAGAAUCUUCCCAAGACAAUUCAAAUGGAUAUGAUUCAGUUUCCUGGCACAGCACUGGUAUACUCUCCAGAUUUCAGAGGCAUACAACAAUGAAGUCAGCUUCAGUUUGGGAAAAUCUUCACAUGCCUGGAGAAUACACCUUCCUAACUCACCAACCAGUGUGAGGUCCAUAAAUUACUCUCAAUAUGGCGAAUAGUUCCUCUGCUGAGACAGUUUACCAUGGUGUGGCUUCUUGGAGCCACAGGUGAGUGCUGGGUGGCAGGUGGAUACCAAAGGAGGAAAGCAGCCCUCAAAAGGGCUCAGCAAAAA